GAGAUAUAUGUAUCAAGCCUCGCUGGUGUUGUUAACAAGAGUGAUAAUAAAGAUGAAAAGGAUA